CAGUAUUUUCCAAGAAACAGCCUUCCCCUAUUAACGCAACAUCCCUGAAAAUAAUACUGCUGUUUCUACAGCAGUGACAGGCCCUGCAUGGAACGCAUUUUUCCUUCCUUUUUUCCCCACCACAGAGCCACAGGCAAGAAGCUGUGGCAGCGGAGCCUCGUCAAAGCCAGCUGGACAGAGGAAUGGCUACUUGCAUUGUUAAGUAGGAGCGCUUCACAGUGACCAUGGGCCAGCCAGGAACUGCCUUCCCCCAGGACGGGGGGACAGCUGUGGGUGGGUGUGAGGCACAGGGAGGCUUCUCUGCCUGGUGAUCCCAAGAGGACCGGCAACAGGUGCCCUGACUGGCUGAAGGAGGAGGCUGCCGGGAAAUCAGAGACUUGAAUUUGCCAGCUUACAACUCAAACCGGGCUGGGCAAACACACUGCGAUACGGCGGUCACGGCUAUAAUCCAGAGAGAAUGCCCAGAAAUGGGAAACAGAAACGCAAGGCAGGAUGCCCCUUCGUGCUGGAAGUCAGACACCCCGUGUGUUCUUCUCGCCGCCCGCUGAGGUCUGAGCCGGGCCCUGCUGUGAAUGACCCUGGGAACGGUGCCAGAGCCACCCAGACUUGGUGCGGACCACAGAGCUCCCUUUCAGGGGCCCUGUGUCUUUGGACAGGUCACUAGACUUCUCUGAACCCGUUUGCUCAUUUCCAGGAAGGGGUAAGAUCUCUCUGACAGUUCAGGGGGUGGGCAAGAAUGAUGGGUGCCAAGCCUACCACCCCAGGCCCUGGAAAGGAAUCAGCCUUUCCAAAAAUGAUGGUUUUUAUUAUUCUCAUUAUUCUAGAAAAUGUCUUUGUGAAUUGUUUGCUUGAUUGAAACUUGUUUCUUUUUAAUAAAAUCUUGACUUUAAAAAGCCCGAA